rnacentral:rRNA from 1 species
UAGGGAAUAUUGCACAAUGGGCGAAAGCCUGAUGCAGCAACGCCGCGUGCACGAUGACGGCCUUCGGGUUGUAAAGUGCUUUUCGGGGAGAUGAGGAAGGACAGUAUCCCCGGAAUAAGGCUCGGCUAACUACGUGCCAGCAGCCGCGGUAACACGUAGGAGCCAAGCGUUAUCCGAAUUCACUGGGCGUAAAGCGCGUGUAGGCGGCUCGAUAAGUUGGAUGUGAAAGCUCCUGGCUCAACUGGGAGAGGACGUUCAAUACUGUCGGGCUAGAGGGCGACAGAGGGAGGUGGAAUUCCCGGUGUAGUGGUGAAAUGCGUAGAUAUCGGGAGGAACACCAGUGGCGAAGGCGAUCUUCUGGUCUGUUUCUGACGCUCAGACGCGACAGCUAGGGUAGUAAACGGGAUUAGAGACCCCGGUAAUCCUAGCCGUAAACGAUGUAAACUUGGUGUCGGUGGCUUAAACACUAUCGGUACCGCAGCUAACGCGAUAAGUUUACCGCCUGGGGACUACGAUCGCAAGAUUA